GGUGGAGGAAGAUGAGAAGAGGAGGAAAAGAAGAAAAGGUUAAAAAAGAAAAGGACUCCCUUGGACUGUGACCUCACUGUGACCCGAGAGGAGGUGGCCACUCAACGCUGAGGUCACACGGCUCCCUUCCUUAUGCAGGAAAGUCAAGCCAAUAGUCCCUGAAUGCUGCCAAGGAGACACACUGCACCACCAAGCCAAGCCAAGACAAGUAACAAUGCAACACAAGCCUUCUACAACACCUACAGCCAUCAGCAACACCCAAAGUACAAGACAACACCUGGAGCCAUGAAAAACAGUUAGGAUGGAUUAGCAGUUUGGAAUGUUUUUUUUUUUUUUUUUUUUUUUUUAAGGACAUUUUAAGACAAGUUUGGCAUGUUUUUCA